rnacentral:sRNA from 1 species
UUCCUGGUUUUCUUCCGCUUCAGGCGGAG